UACAGAGGUCUCAAGCGUUGUUCGGAUUCAUUGGGCGUAAAGGGUGCGUAGGUGGCGGGGUUAGUCAGGUGUGAAAUCUCGGAGCUCAACUCCGAAACUGCACUUGAUACUGCCUUGCUUGAGUACUGGAGAGGCGAUUGGAAUUUACGGUGUAGCAGUGAAAUGCGUAGAUAUCGUAAGGAAGACCAGUGGCGAAGGCGAAUCUCUGGACAGUUACUGACACUGAGGCACGAAGGCCAGGGGAGCAAACGGG
rnacentral:rRNA from 1 species